rnacentral:rRNA from 1 species
UGGGGGAUAUUGCACAAUGGGCGAAAGCCUGAUGCAGCGACGCCGCGUGGGGGAUGAAGGCCUUCGGGUUGUAAACUUCUUUUGCUCUGAACAAGGCAUGCCUUUGGGGUGUGUUGAGUGUAGGGGUUGAUUAGCGCCGGCUAACUACGUGCCAGCAGCCGCGGUAAUACGUAGGGCGCGAGCGUUGUCCGGAAGUAUUGGGCGUAAAGGGCUUGUAGGUGGCUGGUUGCGUCUGUCGUGAAAGCUCAUGGCUUAACUGUGGGUUUGCGGUGGGUACGGGCUGGCUUGAGUGCAGUAGGGGAGGCAGGAAUUCCUGGUGUAGCGGUGGAAUGCGCAGAUAUCAGGAGGAAUACCGGUGGCGAAGGCGGGUCUCUGGGCUGUUACUGACGCUGAGGAGCGAAAGCGUGGGGAGCGAACAGG